rnacentral:lncRNA from 1 species
AUAAGCUCUUUUAUGUUAAAUUUCCUUGCCCUGAUACGUAUGAUCAUUUGACCUACUACUUUGCUGUAUGUAAAGAUGAAUUAAGUUUAAACGAUGGUUCAAUGCCUUUGAUUACAACAGUGAGAAAGAAUGAUCAAGAGCUUCACCGGGAAUCAACGUUCAAAUGCAUUGACAGCCGGGGUAAGGACGAGUACCCUCCCCCGAAAAAUCUGAGAGGGGGAUGGAAGUUCGCUCAAAAUCAAGGGGAAAAUCAUCCGAGAGACGGCACUUGCAAAGAUUCGUGUGCCUAUUGUCCUCAAAGGCCACUGGAGAAAGAUUGCCCCAAUAAUAGAAAGUCAAAGAACCAAAGGCCGAACAUAGCCCAUGAUCAGUCGAGAAAGAUGACACUCUCUCCUGCAUUUACUGUUUCUUUGUCUGCUAUCCAUUCUGCGAAUGGAUUCUGGAUUUCUGGUUGUUCCUAUCAUUGUGUCUGUCCCCACAGGGAUUGGUUUCUCGAAGCUUUGAAGAGCUCGAUGGAGGAGUUGUUUCUAAUGGGAAAUGACAACCCCUGCCAAACAUGGGAAUUGGCACAAUCAUAUUGAAGAUGUUCAGUGGACCGUCAAGGUUCUUACGAUUUUCUCUAGGUACGUGAAUUUGAAGAAAAAGCUCAUUUCAUUAGGAAUAUUUUGAUUCGAAGGGGUACAAGAUAUCUUGAAAGGUGGAGUUCUGAAAGUUGUUCGUGGUGCUCGUGUUGUUCCUGAAGGGACUCGUAGAGGGAUCUCUAUUCCUGAUGGGAGUACUGUCACGGGGAAGAGUUGCUAUCCGCGCCAACAGUUCCGACGAUCAGACCUUUUCCAAAUUAUGGCAUAUGCGAGUGGGGCAUACUGAGAACAAGCUUUGCAAACUUUGGUACGUCAAGGAGUUCUGAAAGGAGCUAAUACUGGAAAACUUGAAUUCUGUGAAGCAUUGUGUGCUUGGCAAUCAGACACGGUGAAAAUUUGGCACAACAAUUCAUCAGACUUGAAGGCAUUCUGGAUUAUGUUCACGCUGAUAUUUGGGGGGCCUUCUAAAAAUGCUCUUUGCGAGGUUCACACGCUAUUUUGUAACCUUCGUUGAUGACUUUUCCAGAAGAGUUUGGGUAUACACGUGCGGCACAAGGGAUGAAGUCCGUGAAAUCUUCCAUCUUCUUGAAAUGGAAGAAGAUGAUCGAAACCCAGACUGUAAAAGAUCAAGAAGCUUCAGAUCUGAUAAUGGUGGAGAAUAUCGGUCAAUCCUUUCUUCGAUGUUUGUUACAAAGAUGGAUUGUCAGACACUUUACUAUUAAAGGCACAACCGCAACAGAAUGGAGUUGCGGAAGGAUGAACCGCACCUUGUAAGAUAAGUUCGAUGUAUGAUUGUUGCAAUGCUGUUUGAGCAAAGCCAUUUUUGGGCAGAAGCAAUAACUAUGUCCGCACGACCUCAUCAAAGACUUCCGUCCAAAGCUCUUGAAGGAAAAACUCCUAAAUGGAGGUAUGUCAUGAAAAUGUGUUUCUGAUUAUGAUAGUCUGGCACAUAUUUGGAUGUCCUGCAUACUUUCAUGUAAAAGAAGAUAAGUUAGAUCGCCAAGCUAAGAACGCUAUCUUUGUAGCUUUAGCACUGGUUAAAAGGAUCCAGACUAUGGUGUCCGAAACGAAGACAAUUUGGUUGAACAGUCGGGAUGUCACACUUCGAUGAGUCUGUGAUGUCCUGAAGAAUUCUGAGAAGAAAAUCUGAGUCCAUAUCCACCCAGCAGUGAGUUGUGAUUCCUGAGUGCCGACUACAACUGUUCAGCAUGUUAUAUUCCUGACGGAGGAAUCUGAUGAUAUCGACACUACACCAGAUUUGAAAGAGGCUUAAUCUUCACAACCAGCAGAAUCUAAAUCGCUACGAUUAGGCCACACGAGUGAUCGUAGACCUUCUCGAUAUACUGAGUACUUUGGCAUAUUUUUGCCGCUUCCAUUGAUUGAGGGAGUCCCAUAUACUUACAAAGAAUGCCCGUGCAGGGACUGAAAAUCCAAAAUGGAAGAGGGCCAUGGAUGAAAAAUGAGUCGCUUCACAAGAAUCAGACUUGGGAGUUGUCCAGCUGCCCAAAUGGAAAGAAAUCGAUCGGUUGCAAUUUGAUAUCUUGCAAUAAGGCAAGAUACUCAAGGAAUCAGAUUCAAAGCUAGAUUGGUGGCUAAGGCUAACGCUCAGAAAGAAGAAUAACUACAACGAGGUAUUUUUCUCCUGUUGUAAACGCUUCCGUGCUAUGUAUUUUGCUAGCGUUGUUUGCUCAAUUUUGAUCUUGAGUUAGCUCAACUCGAUGUAAAAACUUCUUUUCUCCAGGAGAUUUGAAGAAAGAGAUUUACAUGUCACAGCCAGAUGGGUUCAAGGUGCCUGGAAAAGAACCUUUUUGCGUGUCGCUUAAAGAAAUCUUUGUAUGGCUUGAAGUAGUCGCCAAACAGUGGUAUAAACGAGGUUUGAUUUGUUCAUGGACGAGCAUGGGUAUACACGAAGUCAGUUU